UGCUCUUGCAGAGAAAAGUCAAGCUUACUUAAGCGUUCAAUCAUCUCGAUCAUAUACAGUACAUAAUCGGUGAUUGACGCUCCUUCCCUUAUUCGAGCGUUGAAGAUGGCACAACUAGUCUUGUGCUUCUCAACAUUAUCGAGUGUGCCAAAAGACUUGUUCAAUAUUUGAAACAUAUUCUGUGGCUGAGCAUUCUUGAAAU
rnacentral:lncRNA from 1 species